rnacentral:rRNA from 1 species
CCUACGGGAGGCAGCAGUGAGGAAUUUUCCGCAAUGGGCGAAAGCCUGACGGAGCAAUGCCGCGUGAAGGAUGAAGGCCUGCGGGUUGUAAACUUCUUUUCUUAGAGAAGAUAUUGACGGUAUCUAAGGAAUAAGCAUCGGCUAACCCUGUGCCAGCAGCCGCGGUAAU